UCUGAAUGGCUCACUUGGUGAAAGCACUGCAUUGCGGAGCAGAAGUGUCUGGGUUCGAGCCCCAGUCAGAG